rnacentral:rRNA from 1 species
UGCGUAGGUGGUUGUUUAAGUCUGUUGUGAAAGCCCUGGGCUCAACCUGGGAAUUGCAGUGGAUACUGGGCGACUAGAGUGUGGUAGAGGGUAGUGGAAUUCCCGGUGUAGCAGUGAAAUGCGUAGAGAUCGGGAGGAACAUCCAUGGCGAAGGCAGCUACCUGGACCAACACUGACACUGAGGCACGAAAGCGUGGGGAGCAAACA